rnacentral:rRNA from 1 species
CCCUUAGACGUUCUGGGCCGCACGCGCGCUACACUGACGAAGGCAACGAGCUUUCCUUUACCGAAAGGUACGGGUAAUCUUUUGAAACUUCGUCGUGCUGUGGAUAGAUCCUUGCAAUUUUUGAUCUUAAACGAGGAAUGCCUAGUAAGCGCAAGUCAUCAACUUGCGUUGAUUACGUCCCUGCCCUUUGUACACACCGCCCGUCGCUACUACCGAUUGAAUGGUUUAGUGAGGCCUUCGGAUCCGCGACUCGUUUUGUGGAGAAGUUGGACAAACUCAGUCAUUUAGAGGAAGUAAAAGUCGUAACA